UGCAUAUCAAUAAGCGGAGGAAAAGAAACUAACAAGGAUUCCCCUAGUAGCGGCGAGCGAAGCGGGAAGAGCUCAAAUUUAUAAUCUGGCACCUUCGGUGUCCGAGUUGUAAUCUCUAGAAAUGUUUUCCGCGUUGGACCGCACACAAGUCUGUUGGAAUACAGCGGCAUAGUGGUGAGACCCCCGUAUAUGGUGCGGACGCCCAGCGCUUUGUGAUACAUUUYCSAAGAGUCGAGUUGUUUGGGAAUGCAGCUCAAAUUGGGUGGUAAAUUCCAUCUAAAGCUAAAUAUUGGCGAGAGACCGAUAGCGAACAAGUACCGUGAGGGAAAGAUGAAAAGCACUUUGGAAAGAGAGUUAACAGUACGUGAAAUUGUUGGAAGGGAAACGCUUGAAGUCAGACUUGCUUGCCGAGCAAUCGGUCUUGCAGGCCAGCAUCAGUUUUCCGGGAUGGAUAAUGGUAGAGAGAAGGUAGCAGUUUCGGCUGUGUUAUAGCUCUCUGCUGGAUACAUCUUGGGGGACUGAGGAACGCAGUGUGCCUUUUGGCGGGGGUUUCGACCUCUUCACACUUAGGAUGCUGGUGGAAUGGCUUUAAACGACCCGUCUUGAAACACGGACCAAGGAGUCA
rnacentral:rRNA from 1 species